rnacentral:rRNA from 1 species
AACGAACGCUGGCGGCAUGCCUAACACAUGCAAGUCGAACGAAGGCUUCGGCCUUAGUGGCGCACGGGUGCGUAACGCGUGGGAAUCUGCCCUUUGGUUCGGAAUAACAGCUGGAAACGGCUGCUAAUACCGGAUGAUGACGAAAGUCCAAAGAUUUAUCGCCAGAGGAUGAGCCCGCGUUGGAUUAGGUAGUUGGUGGGGUAAAGGCCUACCAAGCCGACGAUCCAUAGCUGGUCUGAGAGGAUGAUCAGCCACACUGGGACUGAGACACGGCCCAGACUCCUACGGGAGGCAGCAGUGGGGAAUAUUGGACAAUGGGCGCAAGCCUGAUCCAGCAAUGCCGCGUGAGUGAUGAAGGCCCUAGGGUUGUAAAGCUCUUUUACCUGGGAAGAUAAUGACUGUACCGGGAGAAUAAGCCCCGGCUAACUCCGUG